UGGAUGAGAAGCUACAAACCAAAAGGAAUAGAGGAGCAACGAGGAACAAGUGAAAACGCAGUCAAGCACACCCAAAACCUCUAAUUCAAUCCUCUUCUUGACUCCAUUAUUCACCAUUUUUUUUUUUAAUUUUUCUCAUUUUUCUGUAUUAUUUUUUUCUUCUUUUUUUUCAUCUUGUCUCUUUUCUUUUCUCUCUUUUCAUAACACAACUCUAAGAGACAAGAUACACACAUAAUUAUAAAACACAAACA
rnacentral:lncRNA from 1 species